UUCAAAAUUAUGGGUCCAUUUGACCAGCACAAUGUGGACCUAUUGAGUAAAAGUUGCAGUUGUAGAAGAUGCGAUUUAACAGGUAUCCCUUGCAGACAAAAUAUAUCAGCUAUUUGGUCUAGAAAUGAAGAGCGCUCAUUCUCUCAUCAAGAUGUUAGUUUCGAGCUUCUUUUCCGAAUAAGCUUUCGCCGCCUCCUUUGGAGGUUUUUAGUUCCCCAAGGUGAGUACUUAUUUGAGGUGCUAUGAGCAUGAAUCCAAGAAGUAAAUGGUGCUAGACUUUGGCUAAUGUGUGAGUUACCGCACCAUUGCCACCCAAGAAUGAAAACAAACCUGGGAGGCCAAACAAAACGAGACAAAGACAGCCUGAUGAACCACCUGCUACAACCAACACAACAAGAUUGAAGAAGUGUCCGAAAAGUCUAAAAUGUGGCAAAUGUGGAGUUGUAGGGCACAAUGCUAGGACAUGUAAGAAGAAGAGUGGGCAGGCUGAAGAGAUGCCUAUUGGGACAUCUCAACCCCCCAGCACUCAAGAGAGCUAGCAUACUCAAUCGAUAUCUUUGGAGCCUUUCAAUGCACAAUUUGCUUCUUCACAACCUGCAACAAGAGUUCCAAGAUGGAAAAAAGUGCCUAUCAGGAAAGCUGGAAGCAAAAAUAUGAAAUUGAAGCUAGUUGGCAAGUCAAGUAAUAUUUCAUUAGUUAAUGAAAAUUUUUAUAGUUUACUCAUUCUUCAAGGAUCAACUCUCUGGUUAUCGUGAGAGGAGGGAUGAACUUUAUCACCCUCCUAAAUUCGAGGGCGGUCCUUGGUACUCAACAAACAGAAAAGGGACAAUCUAGCUAUGAUAAAUGAAAAACUAUUGUUGUUAGGCCUGUGUUAUUUAUUUGUUUGUAUUUGUUGCUAGUGUAUUCAGUUGGACAUGAAUUGUUGAUAUUUAGACUGUUAGUAGAACUCUUAUUGUUGAGCUAGUUUUAAAAAUUGAUGAAGGGAUUUAAUUAAGUGUUUAAGUAUUGUUGUCGACAAGUGUAAU